rnacentral:rRNA from 1 species
CAGUAGCCGCGGUAAUACAGAGGGUGCGAGCGUUAAUCGGAUUUACUGGGCGUAAAGCGUGCGUAGGCGGCUUCUUAAGUCGGAUGUGAAAUCCCUGAGCUUAACUUAGGAAUUGCAUUCGAUACUGGGAAGCUAGAGUAUGGGAGAGGAUGGUAGAAUUCCAGGUGUAGCGGUGAAAUGCGUAGAGAUCUGGAGGAAUACCGAUGGCGAAGGCAGCCAUCUGGCCUAAUACUGACGCUGAGGUACGAAAGCAUGGGGAGCAAACAGGAUUAGAUACCCGGGUAGUCCCUGUCUCUUAUAU